rnacentral:rRNA from 1 species
UACGUAGGGUGCAAGCGUUGUCCGGAAUUAUUGGGCGUAAAGAGCGUGUCGGCGGCCAGAUUAGUCCGCUGUGAAAGUCCAGGGCUCAACCCUGGAAUGCCGGUGGAUACUGUCGGGCUAGAGUCCGGAAGGGGCGAGUGGAAUUCCUGGUGUAGCGGUGAAAUGCGCAGAUAUCAGGAGGAACACCAAUGGCGAAGGCAGCUCGCUGGGACGUGACUGACGCUGAGACGCGAAAGCGUGGGGAGCAAACAGG